rnacentral:rRNA from 1 species
UACGAAGGGGGCUAGCGUUGUUCGGAAUUACUGGGCGUAAAGCGUGCGCAAGCGGCUUCUCAAGUCAGGGGUGAAAGCCCAGAGCUCAACUCUGGAAUUGCCUUUGAGACUGAGUGGCUUGAGUACGAGAGAGGUGAGUGGAAUCCCAGUGUAGAGGUGAAAUUCGUAGAUAUUGGGAAGAACACCGGUGGCGAAGGCGGCUCACUGGCUCGUAACUGACGCUCAUGCACGACAGCGUGGGGAUCAAACAGG